UACGUAGGGGGCCAGCGUUGUUCGGAAUUACUGGGUGUAAAGGGUUCGUAAGCGGUGCGGCAAGUUGGGAGUGAAAUCUCUGGGCUUAACCCAGAGGCUGCUUCCAAAACUGCUGUGCUUGAGUGUGGGAGAGGCGCGUGGAAUUGCAGGUGUAGCGGUGAAAUGCGUAGAUAUCAGGAGGAACACCGAUGGCGAAGGCAGGUCUCUGGGCCGAUACUGACGCUGAGGAGCGAAAGCGUGGGGAGCGAACAGG
rnacentral:rRNA from 1 species